UACGUAGGCAGCGAGCGUUGUUCGGAGUUACUGGGCGUAAAGGGUGCGUAGGCGGUUGUUUAAGUUUGGUGUGAAAUCUCCCGGCUCAACUGGGAGGGUGCGCCGAAUACUGAAUGACUUGGAGUGCGGGAGAGGAGAGUGGAAUUCCUGGUGUAGCGGUGAAAUGCGUAGAUAUCAGGAGGAACACCGGUGGUGUAGACGGCUCUCUGGACCGUAACUGACGCUGAGACACGAAAGCGUGGGUAGCAAACAGG
rnacentral:rRNA from 1 species